rnacentral:lncRNA from 1 species
UCCUCCUUCACUUUCUUCGAUUGACCGGAACGGAUUACUACGCUGUUUGUAACGGGGCUCCGUUAUUAUACCAGGGUAGUGUUUCUAUUACUAUAAUACCCUUGAAAUGUUCCUGAAAUUGAGGGUAAUUUCGUCAAUUACUGACAUGCCACUUGCUUCCUUCAGAGUCGAUGGAUCUCACUCGCCCUCUAAUUUCUAUUUUGGUAUGGAGGAUUAAACAAGAACUUCCUUUUAUUGACAAAGCAUAAGGUAAACGAGGCCUUUCGUCAGUGUUUUACUUAUUCCCAUUAUGUGUAGAACAUUCGAAAUAGGAAAACCGUAAUUCCUCAGGUAUUUUUAUUUUAAUAUUUGACAGAAAUUAGUGGUUCUUCAGGGAAGUUAAUAAGCUUUUUUGUUGGCCCCUUUUUAUUUGUUAUUUAUUUUAUACCUCUCUUUGUUUGACAGAAUGAAGAAAAGGUAAUUUGGGGUUCUAGUUCAGUUUAUUGAGAUGCUUAUGAAAAUCAAGGUGAAUUUCUAGAAACAGGAAAAUAUGGAAAGGUAUUGAACUGGUUCCCACUUAUGUUUAAACUAGUAUGGUUAUUUAUUUAUUUAUUUAUAUAUUUUGAUAGGUGUUCUUGUUAAAGUAAUUGUAGACUCACAUUACUACUUUUGGAUUUUGGUAAUCUCUUGCAUUGCUUCAGCACGUGUUAACUGCAUAGCUUUAGCUUGUUCAAAAUUUGACUGUAUCUGGGAAUUUAGUUCUAUUCUCAUUGUUGCCUAAUGUCUCGUGUAUUAGAAUUGUUGGCACUUGAUGAAUGCCUGCCUUUUGAGGCGCCCUUAAUGUGUCAACAAUGUAGGUAUAAACCUUCUCAAGAUGUCACUAUAGUGCUUGAUUAGAUGCGUCUUUCUUGUUUUAUUUUGUUUCGGUAGUGGUUUGGGGAUAGAGGGCAGAGGAAGUCUACCUUGCUUUGGGUACCGCUAUAUUGAUCAAGCCUGAUCAAUUGAACACUAAAGUUUGGAUUGCGCUUUAUUAAUGCCUAUAAGUAGGAUUAUAUCUGUAAAAAGAAAUUAGUCAAGGAUUUUCUAAUCUGGGGCUUAUUUCAAUUCCGUGCUUACUUGGGAGAACCAAUAGAUGGAAAACAAAUAGGCUGCAUUUAUUACUUUUUCAGUCUGUAAUCUAGUCACUGGAUUGCUUUAUUGAUAACUAAGUAACUGGCUUGGUUAGAAAACCCCUAAAGCCUACAAAUAUUUUCACCUUGGUUGUGUCAUCUCAAAACAGAAGAUUUAACAUAGAACAACAGUUUCAACUCUUGAGUGGUGAAAAAAAAACACUAAAAUGGGAGAGAACGCGGGCAAGGAUCCUAUUGGUAAGGGGAUGGAUCAGACAUGUGUGCUUGCCCUCGAGGCACCUUCACUUUCUGGUAGUUCGGCUAGACCUCGACGUCCCAGAAAGAUGAAAGCUCGCACUGAUGGUACUGGCUAUCCAAUUUUUGUUUGGUUGUAUAAUUGUUGAUUUUUUUUAGUUUUGUUUCACAUAUGUCCCGUGUCUUCAAAACCCCGAGAUUUUGCAGAAUCUCUACUAAGGAAAGAAAAGGAUUAUGGAAAAUGGUGUCUUUCUUUUUCACCCUCUCCCACUCAAAAGGAGUAGGAGUGUGGUUUUAUAUCUUUUUCCCAUCCACUUUAUCAGCCAAAAAGGGAAAAGGAAGAAAAUCUGGACACCAUCCCCCUGGUGAAAAAAAAAGAAAAAAAAAAGUUGGAAAGCAAGUUGAAUGUACAAAUUCUAUUGUUAUUAGUUGCACAACCUAUGCUCUUUUAAAAUUUCUAUUGCUCAAAGUAUUUUUCAUGAGGUCAGGUUGAAUGUGUCUAUGCAGAAAGAAUAAAGAGGACUGCGUGUUAUGUGUCUCAAAGCUCUCUAACUUAUAAUCCCCAUUUGCUUUGCGAUCUAAUGCUGUUAAUUUUGGUGGGGACUAAUGCUUUUGUGCUGCCCAGAUCAUAUGGUUCUAUAGAUAUAUGCUUUUUCUAGAACUAUUUGCAUAUUUUACAUUGAUGCUCCUCGACACGUAUGUCAUAUUCAAUGCUUCUGUCAGUUGAAUAUUUAUGCUGUGCCUGUAACAGAACAUUCAUGUAAUACUCCAUAUAUAAAUUCUGAAACUAAACACUCUUAUUACAUUUAUUCUUGCAGAACCAAAGCAUGAAGGGUUACUUGCGGAUUCCUUGAUUAUCAAUCCAGGAGAGGUCUCAUUUUUGUACUUCUCCAGUGUUCAUAUUCUUUUGGACAUGAAAAGCUUUCUUGUUCUGUGUGCUAUUUUCUUCUCUAACAUUGG